GGGAGAGCAGGUAAUAAAGAGGUCCUUACAAAAUUGGCAAUCACAGUUAUAUAUCAUCUAUUUAUUUUUUCCUUCUAAAUUCUAGUACAAGUAACUGAAUUAUAGACUAAUUGACUUUGAUAACAUAUUCCCAAUUUUUCUGCCCUCCAACCCUCAUUGAUCUUCUCAAUAAAAUCUUCAAUUCUUUUCCUUAAUUCAUCCUCUUCUUUCUCAUCACUUUUCUCAAAAUUGCUGUCAUUUGUCUCUUUUCUUGUUUUUGCUAAAUACAUUUUUGUGUCAAUUGUAAUAU
rnacentral:lncRNA from 1 species